GAACUCGGGUGUCCUGCCUUCCUGGCCAGUAUGUGACCCCUUGACUGGAGAGUCACACACAGGCUCAUUCUCACACUCAGAUUACAGAACCAUCACUUACGCCAUGCAGUGUGGCUGCUUCAGGGACACCCUUACUGCAGCAUAGCCUUGCCUCCUGCUUCAGGACAUCUCUGAGAUGUAGCAGAGGUGGGUUCGCACUUGCUUGGGAUCUGGGAGCAGGUUUUCCUUAUCUUCUAUCUUCCUAAGCUGUUGUGUAACAGGACUUUUCCCCGUCUAAAUGAAACAGCAGUGCUUGCUCCUGUAGGUGUAGGGAGUGUGCUCAUGUGCAUGAGCAGUAGGAAGCGUGUACAGUGGCACUGUAGAUAUCAUAGGACAGAAGGUCACAGAGCAGUUGGUGACUUUGGGACAUGUGCUGACAACAGAUAGCGUACUGAAUAACUGCUGAUAACGAUAGAGGUGCAUAUGGGAUUAGGUAGCAGGAAAGAUAGGAUCAUAGGAUUUUAUUUGGGACUGAGUAAAUGCACAAAGUUAACUACAUCUGCAUUAGGUGUUGAAAGAUUGUGCAGAAGGUUGUUGAGCAACUAUUGCAUCAUCAUAGUUGCCUACAUCAUACAGCAGUGGCAGCCUGGAUAAGAGGUCAGUAAUGCCCCAGGUGUCUGAUGUGGACUUACUGGGAAACAGCUAUUACACUGAGGAACUAUCUCACUGGGUUCACAAAGACGGUAUUACUGUUAUCCCUGCUUAAUGUGUGGACUUGGAGCCCAGAGGGAUUUUGUCUUACCUAAGCCAAGGUCACUCAGAAAGUCUUUGACAGGGCCUUGAGCACUCAGGUCUAGUGUGAAGUGUCCCUGCCUGUGGCAGGGGGGUUGGAACUAGAUGAUCUUAAGGGCCUUUCCAGCCCAACCUGUUCUAUGAUUCUAUGAUGCUAUGAUCUGUUGUAUAGCAUCCCAGUAUCAUAAUUGGCCACCAAAGCUUUUUAUUUUUUUUUUUCUUUUAAUUAUUCAAAUCUUUUGGGAAGCUGUGAUCCCCAUUCUUAUGCUUUCUAUUCUCAUUCUGUGAAAAAAACCCAAAUCCCUUGUGUGGAGCACAAAGGAAGGAAUUGAUGCUUCAUGGUGAGAAUAACUUUCUGUGACUUCUUUCCUUCUGAGCAUCUGUGAACACAAAAGGCUAUCUGUCUGUCAUUUGAAGAGGAAGUAAACGCAAGCAAGGGAUGGAGAGAGAAUUCACCUUAAUUUCCUUCAGAAGAGGAGAUGUAAUGGUUUGGUGUGAUUAGUGAUUUAAUGGUUUCAUGAUCCAGAGAUGUCCUAGCCAGAGCAAGUCACAUUGACUUCUGGACAGGAGGGUCUUCAGGAAGGUCAAGACAGAAGCAGGAUCUGCAUGGGUGCUGGUUCCCUUGCCCACUGAGGUCCCAUGGGGUGGCUGUCAAAGGAAACCGUUCAGAUGAGACUCAUCUCGAGAUCCGUGUAAUCAAGUGCAUUACACUGAUGUGAUGUUGCUAAUUUCUCUGACGAAAUGUAGCAGUAUGCUGUGUCCCUUCACAGGUGUGUCACUUUUCUGCCCUCUUGGUAUCAGGAGUGAGAGUGGCAAUGGUGAUGGCAAGGGGACAGUUCAAGGAGUAUAAUCCCACAUGGGAGCUCCCCCUUCUGUAAAUGCAAAGGAAUAGGGGCUAAUUCAUGGUGGGACACAGAAGAAAGGCUCAUUUCUCACUGGGUAAACUAAGAAUGGAAGAACAUGAGAGGUUGUCUCUGAAUUUACCUAUUUCAGUUUGCAAACAUAAUGAGUUGUAAAUAAGAGUGUUUGGAUGGGGUUUUCUUUACAAAUGAAGAAAGACUCUUCUGUAACCAUGCGCUGUUACCUGUAUGAUAGCAACCCCCUGUUCUGUAUGGCUGUUUGAAAUAAGUAGAACUGAUGUUGAAAAAUGAAAUAAAAAUAUCAAUAAAUUAA